ACUGGCGGCGUGCUAAUACAUGCAAGUCGAGCGGACAGAUGGGAGCUUGCUCCCUGAUGUUAGCGGCGGACGGGUGAGUAACACGUGGGUAACCUGCCUGUAAGACUGGGAUAACUCCGGGAAACCGGGGCUAAUACCGGAUGGUUGUUUGAACCGCAUGGUUCAAACAUAAAAGGUGGCUUCUGCUACCACUUACAGAUGGACCCGCGGCGCAUUAGCUAGUUGGUGAGGUAACGGCUCACCAAGGCGACGAUGCGUAGCCGACCUGAGAGGGUGAUCGGCCACACUGGGACUGAGACACGGCCCAGACUCCUACGGGAGGCAGCAGUAGGGAAUCUUCCGCAAUGGACGAAAGUCUGACGGAGCAACGCCGCGUGAGUGAUGAAGGUUUUCGGAUCGUAAAGCUCUGUUGUUAGGGAAGAACAAGUGCCGUUCAAAUAGGGCGGUACCUUGACGGUACCUAACCAGAAAGCCACGGCUAACUACGUGCCAGCAGCCGCGGUAAUACGUAGGUGGCAAGCGUUGUCCGGAAUUAUUGGGCGUAAAGGGCUCGCAGGCGGUUUCUUAAGUCUGAUGUGAAAGCCCCCGGCUCAACCGGGGAGGGUCAUUGGAAACUGGGGAACUUGAGUGCACAAGAGGAGAGUGGAAUUCCACGUGUAGCGGUGAAAUGCGUAGAGAUGUGGAGGAACACCAGUGGCGAAGGCGACUCUCUGGUCUGUAACUGACGCUGAGGAGCGAAAGCGUGGGGAGCGAACAGGAUUAGAUACCCUGGUAGUCCACGCCGUAAACGAUGAGUGCUAAGUGUUAAGGGGGUUUCCGCCCCUUAGUGCUGCAGCUAACGCAUUAAGCACUCCGCCUGGGGCAGUACGGUCGCCAAGACUGAAACUCAAGGAAUUGACGGGGGCCCGCACAAGCGGUGGAGCAUGUGGGUUUAAUUCGAAGCAACGCGAAGAAUCCUUACCAGGUUCUUGACCUCCUCUGAACAAUCCUAGAGAUAGGACGUCCCCUUCGGGGGUAGAAUCGACAGGCGUGCCAUGGUGGUCGUCUACUCGGGUUGUGAGAUGUUUGGGUUAGUCCCCGCUAC
rnacentral:rRNA from 1 species